rnacentral:rRNA from 1 species
ACGAACGCUGGCGGCGUGCUUAACACCUGCAAGUCGUACGGUAAGGCCCUUUCGGGGGUACACGAGUGGCGAACGGGUGAGUAACACGUGAGUAACCUGCCCACAACUUUGGGAUAACGCUAGGAAACUGGUGCUAAUACUGGAUAUGUGCUCCUGCUGCAUGGUGGGGGUUGGAAAGCUCCGGCGGUUGUGGAUGGACUCGCGGCCUAUCAGCUUGUUGGUGGGGUAGUGGCCUACCAAGGCGGCGACGGGUAGCCGGCCUGAGAGGGUGACCGGCCACAUUGGGACUGGGAUACGGCCCAGACUCCUACGGGAGGGAGCAGUGGGGAAUAUUGCACAAUGGGCGCGAGCCUGAUGCAGCAACGCCGCGUGCGGGAUGACGGCCUUCGGGUUGUAAACCGCUUUCAGCAGGGACGAAGCUUUUUGUGACGGUACCUGCAGAAGAAGCACCGGCUAACUACGUG